rnacentral:rRNA from 1 species
UAAUACGGAGGAUGCAAGCGUUAUCCGGAUUUAUUGGGUUUAAAGGGUGCGUAGGCGGGGCAAUUAGUCAGUGGUGAAAUCCUGCGGCUUAACCGUAGAAUUGCCAUUGAUACUGUUGCCCUUGAGUAUAGUUGAAGUGGGCGGAAUAUGUAAUGUAGCGGUGAAAUGCAUAGAGAUUACAUAGAACACCAAUUGCGAAGGCAGCUCACUAAGCUAUUACUGACGCUGAGGCACGAAAGCGUGGGGAGCGAACAGGAUUAGAGACCCUGGUAGUCCACGCCGUAAACGAUGAACACUAGGUGUAGCGGGUAUUGACUCCUGCUGUGCCGCAGCUAACGCAUUAAGUGUUCCGCCUGGGGACUACGGUCGCAAGGCUA